rnacentral:lncRNA from 1 species
GACCGCCACGGUGACUUGCAAGCAACUCACUGCACUUAGGCACUGGACUACCUGAAUUUCUAAUUCAGUGAUGGAAGGCUGCUGGGUGUAGUCAAGUACUUGACUUGUCGGUGCGUGGGUCAAGAUGGGAUUGACCACUCCAGUUUAGGAGCUGUGUACAGUUGUGUUUCAAUUUAGCAAAACCUUGGCCAGGGUAGUCUUUGUGAGGAGUCACAGGACUGUUUGAGUUGAGCACGAUUCGGAUGAUCUGAUCAGGGUUGACAGUUUAACCCUGAGUUGUCCUAAACACAGAGGUCAAAAGGAUGAAUUAUACAGUAACC